UGGUCACACGGGCACUAGCGUACCUUAGUGCGAGGCACACUAAUCAAGCAUGCACGCAUGCGAGGCGCGUGUAUAAUAAUGCAUUCGCAUUCUGACUUCGCUAGGCAUGCAUGCAUGAUGAGGGAGCUCAUGGAUGCUAGGAGUAUGCUAGCAUAAGGACUACCUCUGCACACCUUUAGUGUGCAAGACAGCCCCUGGGCAUGCCCCGAGCACACAAGAAUUUAUGCUCCACUGAGCGCUCAACGUGCAGAUGAGCAUGCGCACAUGUGCACUGUGUCAUGCAAUGGAGACCAAGAAGCAUCUGCAUCACCUUUGCACAUGCGGACAUG
rnacentral:lncRNA from 1 species